rnacentral:rRNA from 1 species
GACGAACGCUGGCGGCGUGCUUAACACAUGCAAGUCGAACGGAAAGGCCCUGCUUUUGUGGGGUGCUCGAGUGGCGAACGGGUGAGUAACACGUGAGUAACCUGCCCUUGACUGUGGGAUAACUUCAGGAAAAUGGGGCUAAUACCGGAUAGGAGCUCCUGAUGCAUGGUGGGGGUUGGAAAGUUACGGCGGUUGGGGAUGGACUCGCGGCUUAUCAGCUUGUUGGUGGGGUAGUGGCUUACCAAGGCUUUGACGGGUAGCCGGCCUGAGAGGGUGACCGGCCACAUUGGUCCUGCGAGACGCCCCAGACUCCUACGGGAGGCAGCAGUGGGGAAUAUUGCACAACGGGCGGAAGCCUGAUGCAGCAACGCCGCGUGCGGGAUGACGGCCUUCGGGUUGUAAACCGCUUUCGCCUGUGACGAACCGUGAGUGACGGUAAUGGGUAAAGAAGCACCGGCUAACUACGUG